rnacentral:rRNA from 1 species
AUUGAACGCUGGCGGCAGGCUUAACACAUGCAAGUCGAGCGGAGCGAGGGUGCUUGCACCUUAGCUUAGCGGCGGACGGGUGAGUAAUGCUUAGGAAUCUGCCUAUUAGUGGGGGACAACAUUCCGAAAGGAAUGCUAAUACCGCAUACGCCCUACGGGGAAACGCAGGGGAUCUGCGGACCUCGCGCCAAGAGACGACUCAAAGUCGGAUUAGCUAGUUGGUGGGGUAAAGGCCUACCAAGGCGACGAUCUGUAGCGGGUCUGAGAGGAUGAUCCGCCACACUGGGACUGAGACACGGCCCAGACUCCUACGGGAGGCAGCAGUGGGGAAUAUUGGACAAUGGGCGGAAGCCUGAUCCAGCCAUGCCGCGUGUGUGAAGAAGGCCUUUUGGUUGUAAAGCACUUUAAGCGAGGAGGAGGCUCUUAAGGUUAAUACCCUUGAUGAGUGGACGUUACUCGCAGAAUAAGCACCGGCUAACUCUGUGCCAGCAGCCGCAGUAACAC